rnacentral:piRNA from 1 species
UCCUGGUUGAGCUGUGAUGAUACCGUGUG